rnacentral:rRNA from 1 species
UUUCGAAUCAUUCACAAUGGGCGAAAGCCUGAUGGUGCGACGCCGCGUGAGGGAUGAAGGUCUUCGGAUUGUAAACCUCUGUCACUGGGGAAGAAACGCUUUGAGCUAAUAGUUCAAAGCCUGACUUAACCCGGAGAGGAAGCAGUGGCUAACUCUGUGCCAGCAGCCGCGGUAAUACAGAGACUGCAAGCGUUAUUCGGAUUCACUGGGCGUAAAUGGUGCGCAGGCGGCCGUGUGUGUGGGGCGUGAAAUCCUGGGGCUUAACCCCAGAAUUGCACCUCAAACUACACGGCUAGAGCAUUGGAGAGGGUAGCGGAAUUCACGGUGUAGCAGUGAAAUGCGUAGAUAUCGUGAGGAACACCAGAGGCGAAGGCGGCUACCUGGACAAUUGCUGACGCUCAGGCACGAAAGCGUGGGGAGCAAAAG